GUAAAUGUAGCUUAUUAAGAGUUUUAUAUUGAAGUUAUAGAGGAGGAAUAAAUUUCCCUUUUACA
rnacentral:tRNA from 1 species